GACGGAGGGUGCUAGCGUUGUUCGGAAUGACUGGGCGUAAAGGGCGCGUAGGCGGCUCGUGAAGUCGGGUGUGAAAGCCCGGGGCUCAACCCCGGAACGGCAUCCGAUACUGGCGGGCUUGAGACCGGGAGAGGAGGGUGGAAUUGCAGGUGUAGCGGUGAAAUGCGUAGAUAUCUGCAGGAACACCCGUGGCGAAAGCGGCGCGCUGGACCACUACUGACGCUGAGGAACGAAAGCUAGGGGAGCAAACAGG
rnacentral:rRNA from 1 species